rnacentral:rRNA from 1 species
AACUGCCCAGUAGUGGGGGAUAGCCCGGGGAAACCCGGAUUAAUACCGCGUACGCCCUUCGGGGGAAAGCAGGGGAUCUUCGGACCUUGCGCUAUUGGAUGUGCCUAUGUCGGAUUAGCUAGUUGGUGGGGUAAAGGCCUACCAAGGCGACGAUCCGUAGCUGGUCUGAGAGGAUGAUCAGCCACAUCGGGACUGAGACACGGCCCGAACUCCUACGGGAGGCAGCAGUGGGGAAUAUUGGACAAUGGGGGCAACCCUGAUCCAGCCAUGCCGCGUGUGUGAAGAAGGCUUUCGGGUUGUAAAGCACUUUCAGUGAGGAGGAAAGCUCUGCGACUAAUACUCGUAGGGCUUGACGUUACUCGCAGAAGAAGCACCGGCUAACUCCGUGCCAGCAGCCGCGGUAAUACGGAGGGUGCAAGCGUUAAUCGGAAUUACUGGGCGUAAAGCGCGCGUAGGUGGUUUGAUAAGCGAGAUGUGAAAGCCCCGGGCUUAACCUGGGAACGGCAUUUCAAACUGUCACGCUAGAGUAUGGUAGAGGGUAGUGGAAUUUCCUGUGUAGCGGUGAAAUGC